rnacentral:rRNA from 1 species
CGUCUGUAUUAGCUAGUUGGUGUGUAAUGGCACACCAAGGCUACGAUCAGUAACUGGUCUGAGAGGAUGAUCAGUCACACUGGAACUGAGACACGGUCCAGACUCCUACGGGAGGCAGCAGUGAGGAAUAUUGGGCAAUGCACGAAAGUGUGACCCAGCAACGCCGCGUGGAGGAUGAAGGUAUUCUAUAUCGUAAACUCCUGUGAGAGCAGACGAAAGACAGAUUAUUAAUUUGGAUGACUGUAUGCUCAGAGGAAGCCCCGGCUAACUACGUG